GUCUCUCAUCUCUUUCUAUUGCUGUGCAUCCAUAACACAUGUAGAGGCAGGAUGUUAAAGGUAUGACCAGUUAUCAGUAUAGUCAGCAAUACCUACCUCAAGCCUUGCUUCCUAUCAAAUUAGCCAAUGUACAGUGAGCUUCCUGCUGUACACGAAUGUAUCAUGUCACCAUAGCAACUAAAUCAACAAAUAGCUGCAGCAGCAUCUGCUUCUGGAUCAUAUAACGUCAGUCAACAGAAGCUGCUUCUACAGGUGCCCAUCCCUUUCACUGUAUUCAUUUGUGCUGACUGAUGAUCUCACAGUGGUUGAAGAGAAAACAUUUACUGACUUUAUUAGAUCUGUCAGCUGCCUUUGAUACCAAUGGCAAGGAAAUCCCAACUUGUCAAAGAGGACAUGAAACUAUAUAAAAGAUCCUUGGGUCCUGAUUCUGUCAUCUCAGUUCUGCUUAAGCUUCUUCAGGGGAAGUUUGAGUCGCAAGAUUGAGGUCCCAGUUAUGCUGGUAUGCCCUGACUGUGAUAUUUGGACACUGAACUAUAAACUAUGACAGAGUGGGCAAACUAUGGGCUGGGGGCUGCAUCCAGCCUGUCAGACC